rnacentral:rRNA from 1 species
GACGAACGCUGGCGGCGUGCUUAACACAUGCAAGUCGAACGGAAAGGCCCUGCUUUUGUGGGGUGCUCGAGUGGCGAACGGGUGAGUAACACGUGAGUAACCUGCCCUUGACUUUGGGAUAACUUCAGGAAACUGGGGCUAAUACCGGAUAGGAGCUCCUGCUGCAUGGUGGGGGUUGGAAAGUUUCGGCGGUUGGGGAUGGACUCGCGGCUUAUCAGCUUGUUGGUGGGGUAGUGGCUUACCAAGGCUUUGACGGGUAGCCGGCCUGAGAGGGUGACCGGCCACAUUGGGACUGAGAUACGGCCCAGACUCCUACGGGAGGCAGCAGUGGGGAAUACUGCACAAUGGGCGGAAGCCUGAUGCAGCAACGCCGCAUGCGGGAUGACGGCCUUCGGGUUGUAAACCGCUUUCGCCUGUGACGAAGCGUGAGUGACGGUAAUGGGUAAAGAAGCACCGGCUAACUACGUG